GAACUUUCUCUGUCACCCAGGCUGAAGUGCAGUGGCAAGAUCCUAGCUUAGUGCAGCCUCAAACUCCUGGGCUCAAGGGAUCCUCCUGCUUCAGCCUCCAGAGUAGCUGGGACUACAGGCGUGCGUCACCACACCCAGCUAAUUUUUGUAUUUUUUUGUAGGUCUUGCUCUUCUGUCCAGGCUGGUCCUGAACUCCUCGGCUCAAGGGAUCCUCGGGCCUCAGCCUCUAGAAUAGCUGGAACUACUGGCGUUCAGUACCACUCCCAACUAAUUUAUUUUUCAUUCUCGUAGAGGCUGGGUCUUGCUAUGUUCCCCGGGCUGAUCUCGAACUCCUGGACUCAAGCAAUCCUCCUGCCUCAGCGUCCCAAAAUGCUGGUAUUACAGGCAUAAGCCACCACGCCCAGCCCGGGAAUCCUUUCUUUUAACCACUGCAGUACUCCACCUUUUUCCUACUAGAUAGUAAGAGAGGUUCUGCUCUUUCCACAUCCCCCUGAACUCUGAUGUCUGUUUGAAUCAAGAUGGAGAAAUGUGGUUUACUAAGAGACUCUGCAAAUGUGGGGCCUCUUUCUGAGCCACAUGGGGUGGGCAGCCUCCAGGUCACAGGACGCUGCUGCUGGCAUCUGGAAGGGCCACUCCGUGCGAACGUGCUCAGGGCAGCCCUGCGUUUUUACAGGAAACAUCUCAGUUAAAUAUGCAAGCGUGUUUCAUUGCAGGGGCUCAGGAAACUUGUUUAUCUUCCUUAAACACUGCCAGAGUGGCUCUCGUUUGUUAUCUGGGGUGUGAAAUGGAGGCUGACAACAAUUAAUACCUCCUCCCAGGCAGCUCGGCGGCGCUCUGACGGGAAGCUGUGUACUUCCGAGCAGGCGGCUGAGGAGGUGGCAGGCCGAGCCGUCACUCAGGAUCCGAGGGGGGAAGAGUGACAGCAGCAGCUGACCGCCCCUCCCGCCGCCUCCUGAGAGGCCCCCAUGAUAAAGCAUCCUGCUUUGUGGUGUAAUCAACUUGCCAUACAUGCAUUACCUCCUAAUGAGCGCCGUGUUUAAACAAGUGUAUAGAACACAUCUGUCCGGGCCUUGGGACUCGAGGCUGUGUGACCAAUUUCAGCAUCUGAAAGUUAAAUUAAUGGUAAAGGGUUUAAUUGUGAGUAAACAAUACCACAUUAAGGAGCAGUAAACACAGCAGUGGGGACCCACCGACCCGCUCUGCCAUCACAGAUGCGGCGGCCUCCAUGUGACCGUUAAUAGUCCCCGCCGCCUGGAAGUUCUGACAGCGCCCUGAAGCCCAUUUGUCAUCUAAAUGGUCCGUCCCCUUCUUAAACAUCAUUUUGGCCCAAGGUCCAUUCAUGGGGCCUGCCGGGUGUUCCUGGGAAGAUGGGCAGAAAAUCCCAAGGCCACCAUUUAGUGCCAAUAAACAGAAGGCCUGGUUUCUUCAAAAGAAACACAAGAAAUUGUUUCCUGGUUUUGCCACAGAGAUUGGGUCACAGAGUGCCACCUAAAUGGUAUUACCAUAUUUGUGUUGUCGCCUCUUGGUUUGAAAUUUAUUCCUGGUAUGACUUGUGUCUCCCCUUGUUCCAUCUCUGACACCCAAGCCCAUGGGAUGACAACCCAGGCUGAGAUGUCCCAUGUGUCACAAAGGAGUCCUUCAGUAUUUCCAGGAAUAGUUGGAACCAGCACUCCAUCCCCUACCUGGACCUGGCACCCUCUCUACUCUUGUCAAUUCUACACUAAUCACAGGAAGAAGGUGGAAUUAGUCCAAGCUGGGUUUUCAGAAAUAACUUGUAGACAUGCAACAGAUGUUUAUAACCCUCAGAAGCGGAAGGAAACUUGGAAACCCUCUCUUUCGGUGACUUUUUUUCUAAUGAUUGUCUCUGCCAUGAAAUUCUAACUUCAAAUGAAAUCUUUGGCAGGAACCCAGGGCUGUUCUGUCAAGGUUCAGCUGCAGGACCAGAGCCCCUUCCACCUAACCCCCACUCCUAUCCUGAUGCUUCCUGAGGCACAUCUGCUGUGGUUUCUCACCAGAGAACAGUCUGCAAAAUCACUGCACCUUGUCCAACUCCAUUUUCCAACUGAGAAGACUUGGCCCAGAGAAGUGCACAGACUUGAGGGAAGUAACACAGCAAUCGGACAGACAGACAUCCCCAGAUAUACCUGCUACGGUCCUGGGAGAAAAUAGAGACCCAUCCCCAAAUACCAUCAUCCUCAUCAUUCUCUGUAGCCCAAUCAAAUGAUGCUCCAGGCCUGAGAUUUUAUCCAAUGAACACUCUGUACAUCUUUAAAAGAGAUAUGUACUUGUCUUAUUCCUCCUUUCCUUUCUUUAAAAAAAAACACAGGCCCCAGAUCCAGUCAUUCUAAAUAGGAAGGAAAAACAUAACCCACUGAGGCAAUGGAUGCUGUUUCUCUCCCUGCUCUGUGACUUUAGUUUGCCUUUAAAGCCCAUUUUCACCAUUUAUUGAUUUUAGUUUUCUACUUGUCUAUGAAUGACAACUUGAAUUAAGACAACGCAGGCUGAAAAGCCGCUAGGCAGUGCUAAAUGGACAAGCUACACUUCGUGGCAGGAUGUCUCAUGACCGUGCCACCUUCUGCCUAGCCCCAUUCUCUGGAGGAGCUGUGGGCAGACCGACCCCAGCCUGGCCGCCUGGCAUGGGGACUGGUUGCGUCAGAUCGGAGCUCUGAGAUAAGGGUGGGCCAGGGCAUGAUCAUCACCACUGCCAGCCUCGAAGCCUCUUUGCUGACCUGGAGGUGAUCUGUGUAUCAAAGGGGGCUGUGUAUUCAACAGCACUUCCAGAAGAGGCCAAAGAUCUGUCUCUACUUCAGCCUCCACUGGGCAGAAAACUAAGCCUAUUUGCUCUAGGCCCUUCAGACUUGCACUUGGAGAAAGAAAACUCACUAAGUCAGCCCUUAUGUAACUCCACUCUCCUCUCUUCCAAACCUCCUUGCUUUGGACAAAUAUUUGACAGAAAAUGCCCUUUUGCAACGCCUUAAAAGUUACAAAAAUGGUGCACCCUAUCCUUUAAUCUGUACUGUAAAUAAAAAAUAUUAACACAAACCCUUUAACCCAGAAAUCCUACUUUUACAAAUCCAUCUUAAGAACGUAAUCAGGGCUCCUUAGGACACCAGGUGAAAUGAUAGGAGCUGCGAGGUUG
rnacentral:lncRNA from 1 species